rfam:Agrilus planipennis Contig6518, whole genome shotgun sequence.
AGUCUCGUUGUUUAGUGGUCAGAAUAUUGGUGCGUAAAGUCAAAGAUCCCGGGUUCGAUUCACGGCGGGUAUG